rnacentral:rRNA from 1 species
AGGUUAAGUUAUUAAGGGCGCAUGGUGGAUGCCUUGGCACUAGGAGCCGAUGAAGGACGUGACUAACUGCGAUAUGCUUCGGGGAGUCGUAAGUAGACUGUGAUCCGGAGAUUUCCGAAUGGGGAAACCCAACAGGUUUUGCCUGUUAUCGCUCAAUGAAUUCAUAGUUGAGCUGAAGGUAGACGCGGGGAACUGAAACAUCUAAGUACCCGCAGGAAGAGAAAGAAAAUUCGAUUCCCUAAGUAGCGGCGAGCGAACGGGGAACAGCCCAAACCAGAGAGCUUGCUCUUUGGGGUUGUAGGACUGGACAUCUGAGUUACCAAGAAAUAACGUAGUCGAAUGAUAUGGGAAGAUCAGCCAGAGAAGGUAACAGCCCUGUAAACGAAACGUUGUUUCCUCAGUCCAGGAUCCUGAGUACGGCGGAACACGUGAAACUCCGUCGGAAUCCGGGAGGACCAUCUCCCAAGGCUAAAUACUCCCUAGUGACCGAUAGUGAACCAGUACCGUGAGGGAAAGGUGAAAAGCACCCCGGGAGGGGAGUGAAAGAGUACCUGAAACCAUGUGCCUACAAGUAGUCAGAGCCCGUUAACGGGUGAUGGCGUGCCUUUUGUAGAAUGAACCGGCGAGUUAUGCUAACGUGCGAGGUUAAGGCGGAAAGGCCGGAGCCGCAGCGAAAGCGAGUCUGAACAGGGCGAACGAGUACGUUGGUGUAAACCCGAAACCAGGUGACCUACCCAUGUCCAGGUUGAAGGUGCGGUAAAACGCACUGGAGGACCGAACCCGUGUAUGUUGAAAAAUGCUGGGAUGAGGUGUGGGUAGCGGUGAAAUUCCAAUCGAACUUGGAGAUAGCUGGUUCUCUCCGAAAUAGCUUUAGGGCUAGCCUCGGAGUUGAGAAUCGUGGAGGUAGAGCACUGUUUGGACUAGGGGCCCGUCUUGGGUUACUGAAUUCAGAUAAACUCCGAAUGCCACUGAUUUAUAUCCGGGAGUCAGACUGCGAGUGAUAAGAUCCGUAGUCGAAAGGGAAACAGCCCAGACCACCGAUUAAGGUCCCUAAAUAUGUGUUAAGUGGAAAAGGAUGUGGAAUUGCACAGACAACUAGGAUGUUGGCUCAGAAGCAGCCACCAUUUAAAGAGUGCGUAAUAGCUCACUAGUCGAGUGAUCCUGCGCCGAAAAUGUAACGGGGCUAAACACAUUACCGAAAUCGUGGAUGCAGCUUUGCUGCAUGGUAGGAGAGCGUUCUAAGGGCGGUGAAGCCGGACCGUAAGGACCGGUGGAGCGCUUAGAAGUGAGAAUGCCGGUAUGAGUAGCGAAAGACAGGUGAGAAUCCUGUCCACCGAAUGACUAAGGUUUCCUGGGGAAGGCUCGUCCUCCCAGGGUUAGUCGGGACCUAAGCUGAGGCCGAGAGGCGUAGGCGAUGGACAACGGGUUGAUAUUCCCGUACCGGUCUGAUUUGUUUGAGCAAUGGAGGGACGCAGGAGGCUAACGAUGCGCACUAUCGGAUGUGCGUCCAAGCAGCAAGUCUGUCGGCGAGUCAAAUGCUUGCCGGCUCAAGGACAAGCUGUGAUGGGUAUGAACGAUUUAUCGUUCUAAGUGAGUGACGUCACACUGCCAAGAAAAGCUUCUAGUUAGAAUCAGACCGCCCGUACCGCAAACCGACACAGGUAGUCGGGUCGAGAAGACCAAGGUGAGCGAGAGAACUCUCGUUAAGGAACUCGGCAAAAUGACCCCGUAACUUCGGGAGAAGGGGUGCUGAUCGCAAGAUCAGCCGCAGUGAAUAGGCCCAGGCGACUGUUUAUCAAAAACACAGGUUUCUGCAAAAUCGUAAGAUGAAGUAUAGGGGCUGACGCCUGCCCGGUGCUGGAAGGUUAAGAGGAUGGGUUAGCGCAAGCGAAGCUCAGAAUUGAAGCCCCAGUAAACGGCGGCCGUAACUAUAACGGUCCUAAGGUAGCGAAAUUCCUUGUCGGGUAAGUUCCGACCCGCACGAAAGGCGUAACGAUCUGGGCACUGUCUCAACGAGAGACUCGGUGAA